UCCAUAAGCAUGGGAAUCUAUACAAUCAUAAAACCAACAUGUACCACAUGUUUAUAUCAUUACACAAUUUUAACUUAACAUUCUCAAAAUCCUGACAUGAGAGGUACUUUUCAAAUAUUUACAAGAUACAUCAAUCUAGAGUUGUCGUUGAUGUUUCAUUACACAUAAAGGAACUUAUACAACAUCAACCUAUUAAAUACAAAUUAUUUGCCCCAAAACCUUCUAGCUUUCCACUGCCUUAGCCCAUUUUAAACAUUUUAGCAAGCGAUAAGCUAUCCUGAAAAAAUUAUUAGCAACGGAGUGAGCAAAGAGAGCUUAGCAAGUGACUAACAUAUCCAUGGUAAAGAGGAUAAUUUUGAGCAAAUAAGGUUUCAAAAUAAAAGGCGGAGAUACAAGAGUUCAAAGAUAGCCACUCGACGAAUGCAUAAUUACAAUGUUGUAUCAUUCGAAGCAUGUUUUGUUCAUAACAAUGGAGUAAGGGCUAACUGGAGCAUAUCAUUGGCAUAAGAAGCAUAUCCAUGACAUAUGAAAUAUUUCAAAGUAUAUCAAAGACGUAAGGAGCAUUAUAGAUAUCAAUGGCAUAUGAAACAUUCCGGAGCAUAUCAAUAACAAAUGAAAUAUUUCAGAAUAUAUCAAAAAACAAAUAUGAAACAAAAGCUCAACAUCACAUUUGACAUUGCAUACUUAUCAUUAUUAUCCAAAGCACACAUAGAAGAGUAUAACCAAAGUUUUAGAUAUCAUAUCGAACAGAUAGAAGGUGAUGUGGGAUCCCAAACAUAAUAUGGUCCAUCCAUUUCUGAAUGACCACCAUGUUAGGAAUGAGUCGGCACUGAGAGGGGGGGGGGGUGAAUUAGUGUAGUGGUAAAACCUGUCAGUUCUGAAAAUUUCUUUUAUAUGAUAAAAUCGAUUUCAGAAACUUGCUCAACUUAAAAGCGUGUUCGUAAAUCUAUUAAAGGCAGUAAGCAAGUAAAAUGGUUUGCGGUAAAGUAAAUUGCUCAAGAUAAAAUGCAAACCAGAUUUUAGAGUGGUUCGGUCAUCAUAACCUACAUCCACUUCACCGAUUCCUCUUCUAUCAAGGCCAUCGGCAUCCACUAUCUAUCUUUCUUUAAUAGGCGAAGAUCAACCUCCUUUUUAUAGCUCUUUCUCCUUUUACUGGGUUUAGGAGAUAAUCCUUACACCCCCACUCACUCCUCUCUCAAACUAUUCUAACACUUAGAACUUUGAGAGGAGUUUCACACAAGAUUAGAGCAGAGUUUUUUUCCUUUUUACUCUCAAUACUUAUGUGUGUUAACUAGGGAUGAGAGGGGUAUUUAUAGGCUUUAUGUUGAUUCAAACUUGGAGCCUAAAAAGGUCUCAUCCCAGGUUUCCUAGGUACUGGCGAUACCACCAUCGUUCUUGGGUGGUACUAUCACCGUAGGAUCUGCAACUAGGUGGUAUCGUCGAACAGGGGUGGUACCACUACUGACAGCAUUGUUGCCAGUGGUACCACUACCCAGAUUUCCUAGGGUGUUGUUCCCCAAACGGUGCCACCGCCGGCUAGGGUUUCAACACCCUAGUUGGGCCUUGAAUCCGGCCCAAACUAGCCUAACUUCAGGCCCAGUUGGCCUAUAACAGAGUUGAUGAAAUUACCUCUUAAUCCCAACUCCAAUUAUAUGCUAACUAUGAUUCCUAAGACAUAAUCCAUGCAAGAUAAGUCCGAUUUCUUACGGCGAUCUUCCGGUGAACUUUCGAUGAUCUCUCGAUAAUGUUCCGGUGGACUCCCAGCAAGCUCCUGGACUUCACGAUGAUCUUCUUGGCCAGUUCCGACGAGCUUCUUUUGCAAGCUCCUGGACUUCUCGGUUAGUUCUGGCAUAACUUCCGAUGAACUCUCAAACUCCCAAUGAAAUCGUGUUCUUGACUUUGAGACUUCAUUUGCUUUAUGUCUUGCUACCAUAGGUAAUCCUGCACACAUAAAAACAUACUUUAAUCUAGACAAUUAUUACAAAACAUGAAUCAUGUUGUCCGGCAUGUCAUUAGUCCAUCGACGCUUCGUUCGAUUCUCUAGCGCAUCGUCAUCUCUUGUGAUCUAUUGCCCAAUCGACUAGUUGACCUUACAACUCCAAUAUCCUUGGUACAAUAUUCUUUCUUCUUGGCCUGAUGCCUGAAUCCAUAACCCAAAGCCUUCUGUCAAUACGUCAACCAAUCCUCAGGCCCGACGUCCAAUCUUCUGACACGUUUUCCUCCGGCCUAACAUGAUUCUUCCUGCUUUAAUUGUCUCUUCCUGAUUGAAGCAUCCUGCAUCACUCAAAAUGUAGAUUAAAUCAUAAACACUUAUCAAUUGGUUUCAUCAUCAAAAUCCGAGAUUCAACAAUCUCCCCCUUUUUUAUGAUGACAAUCAAUUGACGAUGGAGUUAACCUUAACUCCCAGAGUUUAAACAAACUCCCCCUAUCAAUAUGCUAAAUUGAUAGAACCUUGAAUUCAAACUGAAUUCUAGUCGUUGCAAAUUUCAUCAUGAAUAUUUACAACACAUCAUCAUGCAUAACAUGAUCAUACUUCUCCUCUUUUAUCAUCAACAAAAAUGAGAAGUUCCAACUAUCAAGUAUUUGAGACAUAUAAGUUCAGAUCAUUGCAUCAUAAUCUCAAUUUUUAUCAUCAUGCAAGCUAGCAAAAAUUUUACAAAAUUUUAAAACAUGCAAGCUGGCAAUUUAUAGAUGAUCAAGAAAGCAACUCUUGCUUCUUUAAAUAUACAAGUUUGUAAGUUUUGCUAGAUAUGCAAGUUAACAUUUUUUGCUUCUUGAGAUAGGUAAGAUAGCACUUCUUGGUGAUGUUCAAGAUAGCAAGUUCUACAUCAUGCAACCUAGUGAAUCUUACAAUAUUUUAGAACAUACAUAAUCCUCAAAUCAUCAUAAAUUUUAAUAAUGUGCAAAAUUAUAAAUUUUGCAAGUUUGCAUUUAUGCAUCUUGAGAUUUGCAAGAUAGCACUUCUUGCUUCUCUUUUAGGAUGAGCAAGCUAGCAAGUUUGCUUCUUUUGCAAUGUGCAAGUUUUCAAACUUUGCAUCUUGAGCUAGCAAUUUUUCUCCCCCUUUGUCAUUGUCAAAAAGAAGGGAAGAAUAUAAUAUUAUAAUUCUUUUCCCUUUACAAUAAUUUUUAAAUCAUGACAAAGGUAAAGUAUUCAUUCUUAUUUCAAAAUACCAUAAUUGAGAUAAACCUUGAAUUCAAAUCAAAGUAAUUUCAAUCACGAUUCACAUCAUAUGUAAUACAUCACAUACAUCAUUAUAAUAAAAAGCAUAAGUAUUGCAUGCAUCAUUCUAAAUCAUAAAUAUUUCACAUCAUGAUAGUAUCAAUUUGUCAAAUUACAUCCUACCAUGCAUGAUCAUAACUUUUCCCCCUUUUAUCAUUGUAAACAAGAAAGAAUAAGGGAAAAACAUAAUAGUAUAAAAUAUUUCAAUCAUUUCAAGGCAUUCAUGUCAUAAAUACAAAGAAAUCAUAUCAUCAAAGAUAAGACCACUUGAAUACUAAAAGACAUUAUUCAUAUAGUAAAUCUCUUCUUUAAAUAAAAUACCAAGAAUAAAAAAUUAUAGGUGUACAAAGAAAAGAUCUUGAUUCAAAAAAUCUCAAGUAAUUCCAAGAAACCAAGAUCAUGAUUUUGAUAAAACUCAUUCAAAUUCAAAUCAUCAAAAUCAUCAAAAUCUCAACAUUUCUUUCAAGAGAUUCAAAAUGGCAUAAAUAAUUUUAUUAGUCUCUCAGUGAAAAAUCGAUAAGCUAGAGAAAAAGAAAAUUUUCAAGAAAAAUACUUUCCUCCUUUUGUUUCAACUUAUUGAUUGAUUUCAAUUAUGCAUGUUCUUUUCUUUCAAAUUCAUGCAUCAUUCAUUAACACUAAAAAAGAACUUUCAAAAGAUCAUAAAAAUUAUCAUGUAAAAGUUCGAAAUAUAAACUCGUUAAGCAUACUUUCAAAUCAUCAUUACAUUUUCAUUAAGAUAUAUUUUCCUUUUUAUGUGUUUAAUUUUAAGUAAUUGAUUUCAUAUAUGUAUGCUCGGGUUUUUUGUAUGAAAACCAUACAUCAUAGUUUAAAAUCGAAAGAGCAAAUCUCAUCAGAGAAAUCAUCAAGAUCAAUAACCAUGAAUUACCCAAAAAUCAUCAUUACUUCAAAUCAUUAUGUAUAAUUUAAAUAUAAAAUCAUCAAGUAUGAUACACUAUUUAAUAUAAGCAUACCUUUUUCAUUUAUGCCAAAUCAUAACAUGCAUCAUUUUCAAAACCGAAAAAGCCACUUUCAUUACCGUAAAAAUCGAUAAUACAUAAAUCAUAUGAAUCAUCAUGCAUAAUUUCGAAAAAUAAAUUUAUUAGGCAUGAUAUCAUUAAAUAUGAUUCUAUAAGGUAUUUUUAAUUAAAAUCAUUUUGUUUAUCAUAAACAUGUAAUUUUCAUGAUUAUUUUCAAAAUUACUAGAAUGAUAAGCAUGAUUCCUAAUUUUUUGUAUUUUCAUUAUUAAACAUAUAAUUUUCAAGAAAAUUAAUUCUAAACAAAAUUAAAAAUAACUCAUGAAAAGUAUUAUGUAAUUUUGAAAUAAAUUAAGUGCAUUUUGGUUACAUCAUCGUCGAAAGUCGUUAAGGCGUAGUUUGCCACCUCGCCUUUGUUGAUUUUCUUCUCAUCUUCGGAGGAGCUCGAUUCAUCCCAAAGUGCUUCCCUCUUCUUGCGUUCAUAGCAAGUAAUUGGGUUCUUUUUGUUUUUUAAUUUUUGUUUCAUGAACUUUUUAAAUUUCAUAGUGAUGAGUUCAAGUUUACCAUCACUUGAGCUUAUGCUCGAGUGAUCUUCAGUUGUUCUUAGUCUAAAAUCCUUCUUGUUCUUUAGAAUGUGGUUCUCAAGUUCUUUACAUGUAUUGCAUGUCAUUUCAUAGGUCAUUAGAGACCUGAUAAGUUCUUCAAUCAAAAAAGUAUUCAAAUUUUUUGAUUCUUGUAUAGCCGUUAUUUUUGAAUCUUAAUUCUUAGAAAGCAAUCGUAAAAUCUUGUUAACGAGUUCAAAAUUAGAAAAGCAUUUGCCAAGAGCUUUUAAACCAUUAAUGACAUCCGUAAAACGGGUGUAUAUGUCAACAACGGUUUCACUCGGCUUCAUUCGAAAAAGUUCAAAAUCAUACAUUAAAAGAUUGACUUUAGAAUCUUUAACUCUAGUUGUGCCUUCGUGUGUGAUUUCAAGAGUGUGCCAAAUAUCGAAAGUCAUUUUGCACAUAGAAACACGAUUAAACUCAGUUUUAUCCAAAGUGCAAAAUAGAGCAUUCAUAGUUCUAGCAUUUAAGGAAAAUGUUUUCUUCUCCAAAUCAUUCCAUUCUUUCAUUGGAGUAGAAGACCUUCGAAAACCAUUUUUAAUAAUGUUCCAUAAGUUCAAAUCCAAAGAAAGCAAGAAAACUCUCAUUCGAGUUUUCCAAUAUGUGUUGUCCAUCCCAUUGAAAAAGGGAGGACAAAUGAGAGAAAGUCCGUAUUGAAAGCUGAAAAGAGUCAUUUCUCUUGGGUGUUAAACCAAAUGAGAAAUACGAGGCUCUAAUACCAACUGUUAGGAACGAGUCGGAACUAAGAGGGGGGGGUGAACUAGUGCAACGGUAAAAUCUACUAGUUCUAGAAAUUUCUUUCGUAUGAUAAAAUCGAUUUUAGAAACUUGCUCAACUUGAAUACGUUUUCGUAAAUGUAUUGAAGGCAGUAAGCAAGUAAAAUGGUUUGCAGUAAAGUAAAUUGCUCAAGACGAAAUGCAAACUAGAUUUUAGAGUGGUUUGGUCAUCAUGACCUACAUCCACUUCGCCGAUUCCUCUUCCGUUGAUGCCACCAGCAUCCACUAUCGAUCUUCCUUUAAUAGGUGAAGAUCAACCUCCUUCUUACAACUCUUUCUCCUUUUACCGGGUUUAGGAGAUAACCCUUACACCCCCACUCACUCCUCUCUCAAACUAUUCUAAUACUUAGAACUUUGAGAGGAAUUUCACACAAGAUUAUAGUAGAGUUUCUUUCCUUUUUACUCUCAAUACUUGUGUGUGUUAACCAGGGAUGAGAGGGGUAUUUAUAGGCUUCAAGUUGAUUUAAACUUGGAGCCUAAAAAGGUCUCAUCCCAAGUUUCAUAGGUACUGGUAGUACCACCACCGUUCUUGGAUAGUACUACAGUUGCAGGAUCUACAACUGGGUAGUACCACCACCGAACAAGGGCGGUACCACUGUCGGCAGCAUUGCUGUCGGCGAUACCAUCGCCCAAAUUUCCUGGGGUGCUGUUCCCCAAGUGGUGCCACCGCCAGCCAGGUUUCAGCACCUUGGUUGGGCCUUGAAUCUAGCCCAAACCAGCCCAACUUCGAGCCCAGUUGGCCCCUAACAAAGUUGAUGGGAUUACCUCCCAAUCCCAACUCCAAUUAUAUGCUAACUACGAUUCCUAAGACAUAAUCUAAGCAAGAUAAGUCCGAUUUCUUCCGGCGAGCUUCCAGUGAUCUUCCGGUAAACUUCCAACGAUCUCUUGGCAAUGUUUCGAUGGACUCCCAGCAAGCUUCUAGACUUCAUAAUGAUCUUCUUGGCGAGUUCCAACGAGCUUCUUUGGCAAGCUCCUGGACUUCUCAGUUAGUUGUGGCAGAACUUCUGACGAAUGUCCAGACUUCCAACGAACUCUCGAACUCCCAACAAAAUCACGUUCUUGACUCCAGGACUUCAUUUGCUUUAUGCCUUACUAUCGUAGUUAAUCCUGCAUACAUAAAAAUACACUUCGAUCUAGACAAUUAUUACUAAGCAUGAAUCAUGUCAUCCGACAUGUCAUUAGUCCAUCGACACUUUGUCCGAUUCUUCGGCGUAUCAUCCUCUCUUGCGGCCUAUUGCCCAAUCGGUCAGUUGACCUCGCAACUCCGAUAUCCUUGGUGUAAUAUCCGCUCUUCUUGGCCCGAUGCCCAAAGUCUUCUAUCAAUACGUUAACCGAUCCUUCAACCCGACGUCCAAUCUUCUGACACGUUUUCCUUCGGCCCAACAUGAUUUUUCCUACUUUAAUUGUCUCUCCCUGAUCAAAGCAUCCUAUGUCACUCAAAACAUAGAUUAAAUUAUAAACACUUAUCAAUUGAUUUCAUCAUCAAAAUCUGAGAUUCAACACACCAAACAUAAUCUAGAGCAUCGCGGGCUCUAAGCACAUACCCUUUACCAUUUCUGGAAAAGGUCUAGAUAAUCCCUUUACUAUUUCUAAUAAAGGUCCAAAUAAUCCCAUAAACACUAGAGUAUAAAAGGGUAUUGUGAACAAUAAAUUGGGACAUAUCGAAAACACAUACGGAACAACGGAAUGCAUGUGUCUACAUGAAAUAUUACGAUACAAUAUGAAGUUUACAUAAUAGAUUCAGGUAUUCAAAUACAUGUAUAACAAGAGCAUACAAAAAUUUUGAAGUAGUAAUGUAAAGUUGAACUGAUGUAAGGAUUUUAGCUGAAUCAAUUUCCAAAGAGAUGAAACAAGAAUAAGCAAAAUCGAUCAAAGUUCAAUUCUAAUAGAAUUUGAAAGACAUUUCAUGAAUUGUUUGGACAAACCAAUUAUGCUCUAAUUUAUACAAAAUAGGUGUCAUUCGAAAGAUGUGUCAGUCUAGUUUUAGGUAAAUCAAGUUUUGCAUGAAUUGGAGUUUACAAUAGGGAGUUAUAAAUAAUUUCAUAGUGAAAGGUCUGAAAACAUCAGCUCUAUUUUACUAAAUCCACAAGAUCGAAGCAAAUAGAUGUUUUUAGUUUGCAUUUGUAUUCCAAAAUUUUCAAAUUAGGUAAAUAUAGAAAUAUUUUGAGUCUAGUUUCCAAUAUAUCAUACUUUGCAUGAAUUUGAGUUCCCAACAGAAAGUUAUAAAUAAUUUAGCAAAUAAAGGUCAGAAAUUACAGUCCCUAUUUUGUAGAAUUUGUAGGGUUAGUUAAAAUAGAAGUCUGAGUAGACAUUUAAACUCCAAAUCAUUUAAUCUAGGUAUUAAAAUAAAGGUCUUUAAGUCUACUUUCAAAUGGAUUUUGCUUUGCCUAAAUCAGAGUUUAGUACUAAAAGUUAGGUCCAAAACAAUGCAUAGAGGUCAGAUUACCAAAAAAUUAUAGAUUCAUGACUUUAUAUCAAAACGAAAGAAAUGUUUGGUGCUAAGCUGGAAUCUUUUGAAUUAUAUAGAAUUAAAAUAAAAAUAGAGAUUAGUAUUAUUAUGGGAUGGGGUUAGAACACUUGCCUUAGAAAAGUUUGAUUCCCAAAUGUAGGGAAAUUGAUGCAAAACCUCAAGCUCUUCUUCUUCUUCUUCUUUUUAUUUUUCUUCCCUUCUCUUCUCAAACCCACGCUAGCUACAACUAAGUUUUCCUCCUUUAGUUAAGCUUUCCUCUAGUUUCUUCUCUAAUUGCAAUAGGUUUAUCUAAUACAAGGCUUGCAAGGUAGUAAGCAUGCAUGAAAGAAACUUAGGUGUCAUCCUUAAAGCAAACAUAGGUGGCACCAACCUUAGGUUAGCUAAUGACACAUGUCCACCCUUUUUUUUUCUUUAACUUAAAUAUGAAUCUUUCAUAAAUCAUAUCAAAUUUUUAAUAUUAACUCUUAGGUUCCUAGCCAUAAACUUUUAAUAUAAUAUCAUUUAAUAUAAAAUAUUAUUAAAUAAUCCUCAUAUUUACAAACAAGCAUUUACUAAUUUUUUUCAAAAAAUGGGGGAUGUUACAUACCACCCAAACACAAACAAUAGUACCGCUAGACUAGGUGGUGGUACCACCCAAUGGUAGAGUGUCAAGUGGUGGUACCGCUAGACCAAGCGAUGGUACCGUCCAAUGUUAGUGCUAUAGGCGGUGGUACCGCUAGGACCUAGAAAACCCAGAAUGAGACACUUUUAGGCUCCAAGUUUAAAUCUACUUGAGGCCUAUAAAUACCCCUCUCAUCUCUGAUUAACUAACAUAAGAAUUGAGAGCAAAAAGAAAUAAAAAUGCUAUUGUAAUAUUUUGAGAACUCCUCUCAAGCUCUUAAGUGUUAGUCUUGUUUAAGAGAAGAGUAAAGGGGGUUGUAAAGGUUCUCUCCUGAACCUAUCAAAAGGAGAAUCGAGUUGUAAAGGUAGUUGAUCACCCAUUAAAGGAAGAUCGUUAGUGGAUACCGAUGGCCUCGACGGAAGAGGAAUCGGGAGUGGAUGUAGGUCACGACGACUGAACCAUUCUAAAAUUUGUUUUACAUUUCUGCUUUACUAUUUACAUUUAUUACAAACUGCCAUACUUCCUCGUUACUUUAGCUGCACAUUCUUACGAACAUGUUUUAAGUUAACAUCUUUCCGAAAUCGGUUUUAAUCAAACAAAAGAUUUUUGAACUGACAUAAUUUUAUCCGCUACACUAAUUCACCCCCUCUUAGUGUCGACUCAAUCCUAACAAUUGAUUCUUCUAGCGCUUCAUCCGAUCCUUUGGUGCAUUGUCCUCUCUUUUGGCAUAUUGCCCAAUCAGCAUGUCAUCUUCUCGCAACAUCUGAUAUCCUUGCGCAAUGUCCGAUCUUCUUGGCCUAAUGCCCGAAUUCACAGAUCGAAGCCUUUUGCUAACAUGUCAACCGAUCCUCCAACCCGACGUCCAAUCUUUUGAUAUGUUUGCUCCAGCCUAACGUCUGAUUCCUCCUAUUUUAAUUGAUUUGCCUCUUUUGAUUGAAGCUAGUUCUGUGUCACUUAAACACACAUUAGAUAACAAACAUAUCAAUUGAUUUUAUUACUAAAAUCCAAGAUUUAACAUAUAGUACAUCGAUCUGUCCUAUUAUCUCAAUGUCCCUCUCGAGUAACUUAUAACUAGAAAUUAUGAUAUAUGUUUAUAAGCGAAUUAGUCUCUUUAUCAUGAUCUCAUCAUGAUUCAGUUCUCAUUGCAUAGAUUCAAAGACCACAAUAUAUUCAUCAUCCAAUAUAAAAUAAAAAAUAUAAUAAUAAUAAUAAUAAUAAUAAUAAUAAUAAUAAUAAUAAUAAUAAUAAUAAUAAUAAAGAUUGUACAGUCUCUCAUACAUGCCAUCACUCACAUGAUUGGCAUGCAAGACACUUAUAACUACCAGCUCCCCCUAUACUAUUUGGGGACUAUGGUGUAAUAGCCUAGUAUGUCCAUAGUUGAUGAAUUGAACGACUUAUUAUGGGGAUAAUAAUUCACUGAGUUAAAAGGUCUUGACAUGUGCAAAUCAUGGUCAGCUCAGUAUUGGGCCUAGAGGGUCACACAUAUAUGAUGGACAAGAUGACUAAUAGAGGAUUGGAUAUGGGAUAUCCAAUAAAUCCCUGUUUUAAUAGAUCCAUUGGGUAAGACCCAAUAGAGCUUAAAGUAGUUACUAAAUAAGGAUCCAAUAUUCAUUAAGCUAGUGGUUAUUCGAUGGGGAUUCAAUACCUACUAUGAAGGAUCCAUUAGAGUUUAAUAAAGGAGAUUCUUUAUAAAUAUGAGUUGGGGCUCAAAAGAAUUAUAGGCUAGAAGACUUUAUAGUCGUCGGCCACCUAUCUCCUCUUCCCCAUCUCUCCUUCAGUAGUGAGCCUCUCCCUAGUGUGAGAGGACAACAAGAGGGUCGCCCCUUCUCUUGUCUACUACUGUGUGGUGGUAUGCAAUCACGAGGAGAGAACCUACUACAUAAGGAGGUACAUUGUUAGUGCGUUUGUUGUUUGGAUCACCGCUAGAGAGGAGUUUACGAGAGUUCCUUCAUCUAUGGAUUGAGAUUUAUAAUUUAGGGGAUGUAUGAUCUCUCCUAGGUGAGAACGUCUCAACCAUAUUAAGUGGUUUUUGUCGUUUGAGUUUUACGCUCCCGAUUGUCACAUGACGAUCCGAUAAGAUCUGUUUUGGGAAUUGAUUUUUGUUUUUAUUUUCCUCUACGAAUGUGAUGCUUUAUAAGGUUUCCAAAUAAAAUAAACUACUACAAAAUCUGAAAUAAAAGAGUCUAAAACUCCUAUCGUAAAUUACACUUAAACUCUUUAGAAAACCCAUCAAAACUUAGAAAAGACUCUCAAUCCUCUAAAGAUCAUGAAAACUUACAAACCUAUGGAACUAAUUGAUAAAAGAAAAUUUCAAAUGGACUUCUGCAGCACCAAAGACUAGUUUGCUGAUAUCUUCACAAAAGCUUUAGUGAAAGAAAAAAAAAUUUAUUUUUUCCAAAGACAACUUCAAGUUACAACUAUUUGAAUUAAGGGGGUGUAUUAAGAUUAAUUCAAAUAGUUAUGAUUAGAUAAAAUAAAAGAUAAAAAUUUAUAUUUAAAUAAAUAGAUUAUGAUGAAAAUAUUUAUUUGGAUAUGGUAGAUUUUUUUUAUUUUUUUAAAAAUAUUUUACUCUAUCUUUUAGUCGAUAUAAAUAAGUGUUCUUAGAUCAAUCUAAAAAGUUGGAUAUUAGAAGAAUUCCUAAUUCCCUCUACUAUUCUCUUCCUUUUUCUUCUUAAAAUUUUGUAAAAGAGUUGACACUCCAUAAUAUGUUGCACCAACAAUGUAGAAUGGCAUUCACUCAAAUAGUGUUCAACAUGUCCACAAUUGAAAUACACAAUUGGUAGAUUCUCAUAAGAAUAAGAUUGAAAGAAAUCAUUUCGUUGAUCCCCUAUCUAGACCUAGACCCCUUGCUUAAUGCCACCCUGAUCUAUUUUUAGAGAGCGUUCAUCAAUCUUUAGAGGAUGACCUAACACCCUCAUGAUGGCAAAAACCCUUUCAUACUUCUAGUAUUCCAUAAGGAAACCACGUAGCUGGAUCCACAAAAAGGAAGUCUUUAGAGUCUCAAAACGAGAUUAAAGUUCACCCUCCAUAGGAAGAUAUGCAAGAAUUAGCAUCUAAAAAGGACCAGAAGUAAGGAUAGAAAUUGCAUCUGAUUUUUACUAAACACAAAAUAAAAUGAAAUCAUUCGUCACAUCCAAAACCAGACGAGGAGAAGAAACCUUCCAUGAUAUAAAAACGAAAUCUCUGAAAAUAUGUGAAGGGGGAGGUUCUUGAGAAACUUCCAACCCAAACUAAAAACCCAAGAAUGUCUCCGUUGAGGAACAACUUCCUCAUCAGACUUGACCAAAUCGUUAGAAAAAUAUUUGAUGUGAUAAAAAAUUGAAGCAGAUAAGGAGUCAAAAAUCGUAUCCUUGGAUCGAACCACAAGCAAAGUUACCUAGAAUACCUCGUUACCUUCACUUGCAGGACCAACAUUAGGUUUUAUCGACUCACCAACAAUCCCUAGGGUAAAGGAAUCUCCUUGACCAUUAGAAUCUCUAGGGAGGAGGGUACUAAGGGGAAGGGUGCACUCCAUCAGACCCCGAAGAACGAGAGAAGAGCAACCAGAAAAACAAGAGGGUUUAUCACAAAUUCCU
rnacentral:lncRNA from 1 species